ACGUAGGGUCCAAGCGUUAUCCGGAAUUACUGGGCGUAAAGCGUCUGUAGGCGGCUUAAUAAGUCGGGUGCGAAAUCUUGCGGCUCAACCGUAUAGACUGUGCUCGAAACUAUUUAGCUAGAGGUAGGUAGAGGCAAGUGGAAUUUCUGGUGUAGGAGUGACAUCCGUAGAUAUCAGAAGGAACACCAAUGGCGAAGGCAGCUUGCUGGGCCUUACCUGACGCUCAGAGACGAAAGCGUGGGGAGCGAACGGG
rnacentral:rRNA from 1 species